rnacentral:rRNA from 1 species
UACGUAGGGUGCGAGCGUUGUCCGGAAUUACUGGGCGUAAAGGGCUCGUAGGUGGUUUGUCGCGUUGUCCGUGAAAACUCACAACUCAAUUGUGGGCGUGCGGGCGAUACGGGCAGACUGGAGUACUGCAGGGGAGACUGGAAUUCCUGGUGUAGCGGUGGAAUGCGCAGAUAUCAGGAGGAACACCGGUGGCGAAGGCGGGUCUCUGGGCAGUAACUGACGCUGAGGAGCGAAAGCGUGGGGAGCGAACAGG